UAAGAAGAGAAAGAAAC
rnacentral:sRNA from 1 species